rnacentral:rRNA from 1 species
UACGUAGGAUGCGAGCGUUAAUCGGAAUUACUGGGCGUAAAGCGUGCGCAGGCGGUUUUGUAAGACAGAGGUGAAAUCCCCGGGCUCAACCUGGGAACUGCCUUUGUGACUGCAAGGCUUGAGUGCGGCAGAGGGGGAUGGAAUUCCGCGUGUAGCAGUGAAAUGCGUAGAUAUGCGGAGGAACACCGAUGGCGAAGGCAAUCCCCUGGGCCUGCACUGACGCUCAUGCACGAAAGCGUGGGGAGCAAACAGG